ensembl:lncRNA
CAGGUAGGGAACAGACAUCAGUUUAGACACAUCAAUCAAACAAAUGCAAUCCUUAAUGAUGUAAAGAGUAGCAUCAUAGUACAGGCUAAAACAUGAACUAGCGUUAUAGUAAACAUGGAAAGACACAAAGUAGCAUAAUACAGAACAGGCUAAAACAAAAACUAGCAUUAUAGUAAACAGGCUAAAACAAGAACUAGCAUUAUAGUAAACAGGCUAAAAAGAAACUAGCAUUAUAGUAAACAGGCUAAAACAAAAACUAUCAUUAUAAGAAAACAGGCUAAACCCCAAUUUUGAUGAUUUCCUACGUUACACAGAUGCAGCAUGCGUUUUAAUUUCAUUAGGGUCUGCUUUAUUUUAUCUUCUUAAGUUCUAAACAUUUUCAGUAGACAAACUGAGCAAGUAAUGUUUAAAGAAAACAAGCUAAACCAUAAACUAGC